rnacentral:lncRNA from 1 species
AUCCGACGAUCACUGAGGCAUCAAUUAUACAAUUCUCAAAGAACCCCAAACUAUUUGCAUAGCUCUCACAGCGGGGAGCAGAUGAUCCUGCGGUCGCUCUGCAUGAAGGAAGACACGUCUUUCUUCUGCACGAAGGAUACAACUACCCUCGCUCAGAGAAAGCGCAGAUCUCGAGUUCGUACUUGAAUGGUGACUAUGUUAAACAAUGC